UUAGUGCAAUGCUGGAUCUACAAUCAAGUAAAGUGCAAUAGUGAUGAUUGGUAAAAUGUUAAAUCCUCAAUGAGAUCUUCCUAAUCUAUUUGGAGUUUGAUUCAUAUAACAAGGUUAUUGCACAAGCUGGAUGGUACGAGAGUUGAAUGGGGAUACACUUUUGCAGUAGCUGGUGGAAACAUAUCUUAUAUGUUAGUGCAAAUGCUGGAUCUACAAUCAAGUAAAGUGCAAUAGUGAUGAUUGGUAAAAUGUUUAAUCCUCAAUGAGAUCUUCCUAACCUAUUUAGGAGUUUAAUUCAUAUAACAAGUCGUCGAUGUUGGUGCUUCCUUCAAACAGGCACCCCAUGUUGCCCUCGAAUGCGGCAUCAUUGAACCACUCACUCAGAUCCAUUGAGUUGCUGAUAUUAGUUCCCAAAAUAGUGUCCAAUUCAUAAUCCAUGCAAGGGCUCCAGAGGUUCUCCUCGAUGCUGUAGUCAAACACAAGGGGCGCGUUGAUGCCUUCAGUGCUGUCAUUCACUGCAAUCGGCUCAUCGACGGCACCAGGCAUCUGCGCUUCAUCUGAACUGAGCUCUUGGACUGCAUUGUCACUUUGGAGGUCAUGUUGAAGUUCUUCUUGCAAUGCUGGCACCACCUGUGGCCCUUGCUGCAGUUGUGCAAGUAACUGAGGCUGGUCCAGGUAGCAGCUAAUGUCAAAAUUGGUUACGGCAUUGGCUCCUCGGUAUUCGAUGGCUGCAAGAUCAUAAGCCUUGGCUGCUUCCUCUUGGGUAUCUGCAGGAAG